CUUGUUGAUGUUAAACCAUGGAUCCCUGAUGUUAUAGACAAGAUUAAGAGAAGGAAAAUUUCUGAUAUUGCGGAUCCUUCUCAAAUGAAAGCUUUAAGAUUGCCUGACUCUAAAACAGCUGGAAAGGUUGUGAGACUAAUGCAUGUACACCAAUGAUGGCUUGGCUCUGUUAGCGCUGGCCUCUAAUGCUGUUCACAAGAUUUGGAAAUGGCCGCGUGAUGACAGGAAUAAUCCAUCAGGAAAGGCUAGUGCAUAUGUUGUUCCACAGUUGUGGCAGCCUCGGAAUGGAAUUCUUAUGGCUAAUGAUGUAAAUGACAAUAAGACUGCUGAGGAAUAUACUGCAUGCAUUGCUGUAUAUAAAAAUGGUUCUUACAUGAUGUCUGCAUCUGGCGGUAAGGUCUCUUUGUUCAACAUGAUGACAUUUAAGGUAUGCUAUUACUGAUUCUUUUAGAACCAUCUACAAAUAUCUGUAGCAUAAUUUUUGCACUUCAUUUAUAUUUGAUAUCUCUUAUAUUCAAUCUCGUUUAAUUAACUUGUUUAAACCUGGGGUUUGUUUUCCAGGUCAUGACAACAUUUGUGUCUCCCCCUCCUCCAGUCCUGCUGUCACUUUUCUGGCAUUCCAUCCUCAAGAUAAUAGUUUAAUUGCUAUUGGCAUGGACGACACUACUAUUUUAAUGUAUACUGUCAGGGUUAAUUGAAAAACUAAAUGUUAGAUGGAAUUGACAGGUCAAAACCAAACUGAAGGGUCACCAGAAUCGGAUAACGGGCCUUGCGUUUUCCCAAACUCUUAACAUACUGGUUUCUUCAGGAGCUGAUGCCCAGUUAUGUGUGUGGAGCACUGAUGGGUGGGAGAAAAAGAAAACAAGGUUCAUACAAGAACCAACUGGUUGGCAAUCACCAUUGGUUGGAGAAACAAAAGUUCAGUUUCAUAACGAUCACACACAUCUGUUGGUUUCCCAUGAAAGCCAAAUUGCUGUGUAUGACAGCAAGCUUGAUUGUUUACACUCUCUAAGUUAUCCACCCGACAGUCCU